rnacentral:lncRNA from 1 species
UGUGGAGUCUGGAGACGACGUGCAGGUAGGAGGCCCGGGCGCGACAAUCGGGGGGCAUCCUGCGGCGAGGGGACCCUGUGGGGCUUGGGACGAGAGACGGGGGUCUUUCCGUGGGAACCGAGCUAGGUGCCGGGCAAGAGACGCGCGGCUGGCCCACCUGGAUCCUGGCCAACUCGGGAUUGAGUUCGUUCCUGGUCUCAGAAGGCCCGUUUUGCUUUCAGGGAGGAGCUUGUGAAGUAAGGGUGAGUGCGGGUCCAGCCUUUUAAGGCCUCGGCCCCGCAAUACGGCCACGGCCACGGCCGCGUUUGAGCUGCACAGCGUAGUUGAGGGAACCCGGGACAGACGUGGGCUCCCGCCUCUACCUCGCCAAACUUUUUUCUUGGUGAUCGCAGGCCCACGCCUAAUCUCGUUUGUUUCCUCGUUUGCAAAAUAGGAAUAACAAUAGCACCGAUCCCAUGGGUUUGUAGUGAUCAUUCAAAGAAGGAAAGCAGGGAAAACUCUCGCACUAUGUUGGAUGCUUCUAAAUCUGGGCGAUUCUUUCCGUUGCUGAGUCGGGCACGUUGCAAGUUCUGGGCGCUCAGGGCCCAGCACCAAUGUUUGCUGUGCGCUUGCCCUGCGUUUAUAUACUCCUGAUGACCACUCUGCUCGUUACUUUAGGGGAUGUUAGGAACGGAGAAACUGCAAAUUGGCAUUUACUGAAUGGCCAUCAUGCCGAAACAUACUCAUGCUUACGUAUUUGAGAUAUGCUGGAGCCUUUCUAUGCUUCUCGAGGCAGAACUUUGGGCUUCUCUCCUGUGGCGCGUUCCUUACAAUAGUUAACGCACUGGGUCGUGCUCAUUGGUCUGAUUUGAAGAUAGGAACAUUUAACUUCGUACACCCAAGACUUACACUUGAAGUACUUACUGUGGUCACACACUUAACUAAAGUUUAUAUAGGGAAGGCAGAGGAGAGAUCUAGGAACACCUGAGACAGACUAGGGUAGUUAUUUGUGGUGUAGAGGCAUCUUGGCAGGAGGCAGAGAGUGCUGGGCUGGGAGUCAGGACACGUUGUUUCUAUGUUUGGUUUUGCCACUGUCUUUACUGUGACCAUAGGCUGAGACACUCUCUAUCUUCACCAUCUGCAGGAUAUCGAUUAGUGUUAGUGUCUUCUGAAAAUGUUAAAUUGUUCUGAACACCAGGAGGUUCAGAAGGCCUGGGGCUUUAGGCCGGAAGCAGUCUUAUCCUAGCCUUCCACUUUCUCAUUCAUUCUCACCCGCCUUCCUCCUGUCAGUUUCUCUCUCCCUUAGAUCUUGUGACAGUAUGAUUGCAAUUAUUAUGAAGGUCAUAAUAGGUUAGAGUUAUUUAGUCUCAGGACCCAUCAGAUUUCUGAGAUGGGUCUUUUCCAUUAGCCUGCCUUUUGGAUAUAUUUUAGUGCCUUUGAUAUUUGAUGUUGGUGACAAAGAUUUAGUUCUAAAUAGUUGUGGGAGUCAAAUCAGUUGCAUUUUUGAACAUUUUGAAGGGAUCAGGUGGAGCACAGGAAAACAGGAGAUGAGAGGCUUGAGGGCUGUGUUGGUAAGGGUCCCUUGAAUUCUAAGCUGAGGAGUUCAUGCAGGAAUCAAGCAGCUCCCUCGCCCCAUGAAGGGUGUUAGGAAUGGUACCAGUACAUGGGUAGCUGUUGGUCUUGGGUUUCUUCUUGCCUUUUGGGGUGCAGCCUUCAGGCAUCUGCUGCUAGAUCCCUAGGCUUCUAUCUUGUAGGUGCUGUGAGCUGAGCUGUUGGUAGUUUCUGGGGAAAGGAUACUUCUCAUGGUACUUUGCCAUGUGGCCACAGUUGAUACCCCCCCAAGUGCAAGGAGAAAGAAGUUUUAGUGAGGCAGAAAUGAGAGAAUACAGUAGAGUAUUGGAUGGAAGAAGACAGGGACAUGAAGCAGGACUAGGGUUUCAUUUAAUAGCCAGGGGAAAGGGAUUCUGGAAAUGUUUUGUCUGUUAACCUUGAGUUUCUUUUCCUUCCACUCAGAAAUGGCACCUCGAAAGGGGAAGGAAAAGAAGGAAGAACAGGUCAUCAGCCUCGGACCUCAGGUGGCUGAAGGAGAGAAUGUAUUUGGUGUCUGCCAUAUCUUUGCAUCCUUCAAUGACACUUUUGUCCAUGUCACUGAUCUUUCUGGCAAGUGAGUACCUGGGUGGAGAGGCAUCCAGCUGGCAAAAGGCUGAGGAAGGCAAUGGCUGGGACGGGCUAGCAGUUCAGGGGAUUCUCUCUAAAGAAAUGCUGUUUUGUCCAGGUAAGAAAAUGUGCUUGUCCAUUUAGCCCACAAAUAUUGUGAUUUCCCAGGGGUUACAAGAGAGGAGACACAUUCUUCGUCCUUACAGCGUGAUGGUCAUUGAAUCCUUGGUUUCUUGGGAAUUAUCUUCUUUCCCUAGUUCCCUUUGCAGGAGCAGCAGUGGACUGCAAGUGGGCUCUGGGUGCGGGUUCGACGGCCAUUUAGCAAGUUGUGACUUGUGUGAAAUCACUCAGAUUCUGAGUUUUGGUUUCCUCAUAUGUAAAAUUAGGACAGUAAUGUCUACCUUGUGGAGUAAUGGUAAGGAUUAAAUGCAAAAGUAGAUAUAUAAAAUGUUAAUACUGAGUAUAGCUAUAUUGGGCCAUUCAACCCCACUGGACUGAACUCCAUGAGGGCAGAGCCCAUGACCAUCAUCCUCCACCAUGACUGAGCUGUGUUGCUCUUCACUCAUUAGGAUAUCGUAAGCACUCCUUGUUGGACGAGGAAGAAAUGACCCUGUGCUUUUGUCCCCAGGGAAACCAUCUGCCGUGUGACUGGUGGGAUGAAGGUAAAGGCAGACCGAGAUGAAUCCUCACCAUAUGCUGCUAUGUUGGCUGCCCAGGAUGUGGCCCAGAGGUGCAAGGAGCUGGGUAUCACCGCCCUACACAUCAAACUCCGGGCCACAGGAGGAAAUAGGACCAAGACCCCUGGACCUGGGGCCCAGUCGGCCCUCAGAGCCCUUGCCCGCUCGGGUAUGAAGAUCGGGCGGAUUGAGGAUGUCACCCCCAUCCCCUCUGACAGCACUCGCAGGAAGGGGGGUCGCCGUGGUCGCCGUCUGUGAACAAGAUUCCUCAAAAUAUUUUCUGUUAAUAAAUUGCCUUCAUGUAAA